rnacentral:rRNA from 1 species
UACGUAGGGCGCAAGCGUUGUCCGGAUUCACUGGGUGUAAAGGGUGCGUAGGCGGGAGAGUAAGUCCGCGGUGAAAUCUCACAGCUCAACUGUGAAACUGCCGUUGAUACUGCUUUUCUUGAGUUCGGGAGAGGUUGAUGGAAUUCCAGGUGUAGCGGUGAAAUGCGUAGAUAUCCGGAAGAACACCGGUGGCGAAGGCGGCCUGCUGGGCAGUUGCUGACACUGAGGCGCGGACAGCGUGGGGAGCAAACGGG